rnacentral:rRNA from 1 species
AUUGAACGCUGGCGGCAGGCCUAACACAUGCACGUCGAGCGAGCGGCGGACGGGUGAGUAAUGUCUGGGAAACUGCCUGAUGGAGGGGGAUAACUACAGGAAACGGUAGCUAAUACCGCAUACCAUCAGAUGUGCCCAGAUGGGAUUAGCUAGUGGGUGGGGUAACGGCUAACCUAGGCGACGAUCCCUAGCUGGUCUGAGAGGAUGACCAGCCACGCUGGAACUGAGCCACGGUCCAGACUCCUACGGGAGGCAGCAGUGGGGAAUAUUGCACAAUGGGCGCAAGCCUGAUGCAGCCAUGCCGCGUGUGUGAAGAAGGCCUUCGGGUUGUAAAGCACUUUCAGCGGGGAGGCGUUACCCGCAGAAGAAGCACCGGCUAACUCCGUGCCAGCAGCCGCGGUAAUUA